rnacentral:rRNA from 1 species
CACGCCGUAAACGAUGAGUACUAGGUGUAGGGGGUUUCCGCCCCUUAGUGCUGCAGCUAACGCAUUAAGCACUCCGCCUGGGGAGUACGACCGCAAGGUUGAAACUCAAAGGAAUUGACGGGGGCCCGCACAAGCGGUGGAGCAUGUGGUUUAAUUCGAAGCAACGCGAAGAACCUUACCAGGUCUUGACAUCCCGAUGACCGCUCUAGAGAUAGAGUUUUCCCUUCGGGGACAUUGGUGACAGGUGG